ACCUCAAUUGGAUACUAAGAAAACAGAAAUUAAAAAAAAAGGAGGAGGAGCGCAGCUUUUGCAAAAAGGGACCCCCUCCUGAAGCUUCAUCCUCUCCAAACGACCCCCACUCCCUGAUUUCGUGGUCUCAUUCAUACCCCCAGCGCCAACGUCCUCUUCUUCAAUCUUCAUGCCAAAGAGACCACAGAGAGAAAUUGUUUUUCCAUUAGAGAGGAGUUGUUGUCGCUCUUUUUGUCUCCCUCCUCAGUAACUCGCCGAAAGAAACGAGCUUCGGCAGUUCGCCAGAUUGACGAGCUUAAGCAGAAAACCGGCGACGACUGCUACCCCCGCAUUUUUGAAGAAACGAGCUUCGGCAGUUUGCCAGAUUGACGAGCUUAAGCAGAAAGCCGGCGACGACUGCUACCCCCGCAUUUUUGUUUCUUCUCUAUUACUACUGCAACAAAGGUAAUGUUUCUGGUGAGAUCAAGUUCAACAAAAGCUUUGUUCGUUGGUUGCUAGUUCCAUUCGAGAUUCCUGCGAGGUCCCGGAGUUGCUGUUUUUCUAUUCGAUUCCAGUCAAAGUUUUGAUCCUUCAAUGUCUUUUGCCAAAUUGCUCAAAAAAAAAUUUGGCUCCAUCUCCCUAUGAUUCCUAC
rnacentral:lncRNA from 1 species